rnacentral:rRNA from 1 species
AAGCUCGUAAGUUGAAUUUCGGGAUUAGUACGUCGGUCGUGCCUUAGGUACGUACCGGUGUUACUGGUUCCUACCUUCUGACGAACCAUCAUGUCAUUAAUUUGGUGUGGUGGGGAAUCAGGACUGUUACUUUGAAAAAAUUAGAGUGUUUAAAGCAGGCUCGCGCUUGAAUACAUUAGCAUGGAAUAAUGAAAUAGGACGUUGAUCCUAUUUUGUUGGUUUCUAGGAUUGACGUAAUGAUUAAUAGGAUGUUGGG